CCUACGGGGAGCAGCAGUGGGGAAUAUUGCACAAUGGGGGAAACCCUGAUGCAGCGACGCCGCGUGAGUGAAGAAGUAUCUCGGUAUGUAAAGCUCUAUCAGCCGGGAAGAAAAUGACGGUACCUGAUUAAGAAGCCGCGGCUAACUACGUGCCAGCAGCCGGGGUAAUACGUAGGGGGCAAGAGUUAUCCGGAUUUACUGGGUGUAAAGGGAGCGUAGACGGCAGCACAAGUCUGGAGUGAAAUGCAGGGGCUUAACCCCGGAACGGCUUUGGAAACUGUGCAGCUAGAGUGCAGGAGAGGUACGUGGAAUUCCUGGUGUAGCGGUGAAAGGCGUAGAUAUUAGGAGGAACACCAGUGGCGAAGGCAGCUUACUGGACUGUAACUGACGUUGAGGCUCGAAAGCGUGGGGAGCGAACAGGAUUAGAUACCCUAGUAGUC
rnacentral:rRNA from 1 species